CGUCGUUUGAAUCUUGAACUGGAGAAGAGUUCUCGCUUCUGAUAGUGUCUGUCUGGUCAGAAAUUCUUCAACUCACAAUCUCGAUUUCUGAUGUUUUGUCUCUCUGAUUAAAAGGUUUCUUAGUGAUUGAAAUUGAAGUAAAAUCUCCGAUUUCCUCAAUUGUUCGGAAGUUUUGAAAAAAAAAA